GCACCUCCGGUAGGUACCGUGGGGCCGGUCCACGGCCGGUAGGUGCUGGAAGGGGUAUCAGAUGUUCUGGGACCGCGGGGAAGGGGUUUGGGAUUAGGGGAGGGAUCGACGGGGGUCUAGGUAAAGAGGAGAGGGAGUGAGCAGGAGUAGAGGCGUCGCUAGCGUCAGCGUCGGCAACGGUGCCGAAACAGCAGGAGCGCCGGCAGCAGUAGGGGCGCAACUCGACCCUGCAGGUCCCCGAAGUGGUGGUUGAGGAGGAAGUAGAUGCAAUAACCCAACCUGGCCCCUCCGGGACAUGCGGGCGGUAGCAGCGGCAGGGGCAGCGCAUGUAGAGGCCGGCAGCAGCAGCUAAGGCCGUCGAGGUCAGGUGGGGGCCGGAGGAGCUGGCGCGGGGGCUCGAGCGACGGAGCUCUGGCGCCAACUUGGUCACUAACGGAUGAAGUGUAAGCUCCCAGGCCAAAACAGACGUCUCGUUGGUCUGCAACCUCAGGUCCUCGGUCUGUAGUGACAGCUACUGCUGAUGAUGAUGAGCCCUCCACAGAUGAUGAUGCACAGCCGGCGACUGCUACUAGUCCUCAUCAUAUCCUCCUAGGGUCCGUCCUCCGAACGCGGAGAAAGCUAGACAUAGUGUCAAACACGAUCGGAAGAAUUCCGUUUGAACAAAUUGAAUACAAACAUGAGUCUAUAACAACGAAGGCGACUGAGCAGAUACUAGCUCGAGAACAUAAGCUCGGAAGCUCCGGGGACCGAACAUUAUACUACGAACAUACUGAUUAAAAUAAA
rnacentral:rRNA from 1 species